UCCCUGUUACCAGGGCAGUCUAGCUAGAGAAAUCCAACUAGCUAAAAGGGUUGCGCUCGUUGAUGGACUUAACCAAACAUCUCACGACACGAGCUGACGACGGCCAUGCAACACCUGUCACUGUGUUCCCGAGGGCACACUCUCCUUUCGGAGAACUUCACAGGAUGUCAAGCCUGGGUAAGGUUCUUCGCUUACCAUCGAAUUAAACAACACGCUCCACCGCUUGUGCGGGUCCCCGUCAAUUCCUUUAUGUUUUAGUCUUGCGACCGUACUCCACAGGCGGGAUGCUUAACGCGUUAGCUUCGCUACUACACGGGUCGAUACGCGUAACAGCUAGCAUCCAUCGUUUACGGCGUGGACUAC
rnacentral:misc_RNA from 1 species